rnacentral:rRNA from 1 species
GACGUAGGGCGCGAGCGUUGUCCGGAUUUAUUGGGCGUAAAGAGCUCGUAGGCGGCUUGUCGCGUCAACUGUGAAAACCCGCGGCUCAACUGCGGGCCUGCAGCCGAUACGGGCAGGCUAGAGUUCGGUAGGGGAGACUGGAAUUCCUGGUGUAGCGGUGAAAUGCGCAGAUAUCAAGAGGAACACCUGAGGUGAAGACGGGUUGCUGGGCUGACACUGACGCUGAGGCACGAAAGCUAGGGUAGCAAACGGG